rnacentral:tRNA from 1 species
ACCUGGGUGGCUCAGUCAGUUAAGCGUCUGACUUCAGCUCAGGUCAUGGUCUCAUGGUUCACAAGUUCAAGCCCUGUGUCAGGUG